rnacentral:rRNA from 1 species
GAUGAACGCUGACAGAAUGCUUAACACAUGCAAGUCAACUUGAACUUCGGUUUGGGUGGCGGACGGGUGAGUAACGCGUAAAGAACUUGCCUCACAGCUAGGGACAACAUUUGGAAACGAAUGCUAAUACCUGAUAUUAUGAUUUCAGGGCAUCCUAGAAUUAUGAAAGCUAUAUGCGCUGUGAGAGAGCUUUGCGUCCCAUUAGCUAGUUGGAGAGGUAACGGCUCACCAAGGCGAUGAUGGGUAGCCGGCCUGAGAGGGUGAACGGCCACAAGGGGACUGAGACACGGCCCUUACUCCUACGGGAGGCAGCAGUGGGGAAUAUUGGACAAUGGACCAAGAGUCUGAUCCAGCAAUUCUGUGUGCACGAUGAAGUUUUUCGGAAUGUAAAGUGCUUUCAGUUGGGAAGAAAAAAAUGACGGUACCAACAGAAGAAGUGACGGCUAAAUACGUG